CAGUCGAAGAUACCAGCUGGCUGCAACUGUUUAUUAAAAACACAGCACUGUGCAAACACGAAAGUGGACGUAUACGGUGUGACGCCUGCCCGGUGCUGGAAGGUUAAUUGAUGGGGUCAGCCGCAAGGCGAAGCUCCUGAUCGAAGCCCCAGUAAACGGCGGCCGUAACUAUAACGGUCCUAAGGUAGCGAAAUUCCUUGUCGGGUAAGUUCCGACCUGCACGAAUGGCGUAAUGAUGGCCAGGCUGUCUCCACCCGAGACUCAGUGAAAUUGAACUCGCUGUGAAGAUGCAGUGUACCCGCGGCAAGACGGAAAGACCCCGUGAACCUUUACUAUAGCUUGACACUGAACAUUGAGCCUUGAUGUGUAGGAUAGGUGGGAGGCUUUGAAGUGUGGACGCCAGUCUGCAUGGAGCCAACCUUGAAAUACCACCCUUUAACGUUUGAUGUUCUAACCUAGGCCCAUAAACUGGGUCGGGGACCGUGUCUGGUGGGUAGUUUGACUGGGGCGGUCUCCUCCUAAAGAGUAACGGAGGAGCACGAAGGUUGGCUAAGCAUGGUCGGACAUCAUGCGGUUAGUGCAAAGGCAUAAGCCAGCUUGACUGCGAGAGUGACGGCUCGAGCAGGUACGAAAGUAGGUCUUAGUGAUCCGGUGGUUCUGAAUGGAAGGGCCAUCGCUCAACGGAUAAAAGGUACUCCGGGGAUAACAGGCUGAUACCGCCCAAGAGUUCAUAUCGACGGCGGUGUUUGGCACCUCGAUGUCGGCUCAUCACAUCCUGGGGCUGAAGUAGGUCCCAAGGGUAUGGCUGUUCGCCAUUUAAAGUGGUACGCGAGCUGGGUUUAGAACGUCGUGAGACAGUUCGGUCCCUAUCUGCCGUGGGCGUUGGAAGAUUGAGAGGGGUUGCUCCUAGUACGAGAGGACCGGAGUGAACGCACCACUGGUGUUCGGGUUGUCAUGCCAAUGGCAUUGCCCGGUAGCUAAGUGCGGAAGAGAUAACCGCUGAAAGCAUCUAAGCGGGAAACUUGCCUCGAGAUGAGUCUUCCCUGUCGCUUUAAGCGACCUAAAGGAACGUUUAAGACUAAGACGUUGAUAGGCUGGGUGUGUAAGCGUAGCGAUACGUUGAGCUAACCAGUACUAAUGAACCGUGAGGCUUAACCUGACAACACCGAAAGUGUUUUG
rnacentral:rRNA from 1 species